rnacentral:rRNA from 1 species
ACGGGAGGCAGCAGUGGGGAAUAUUGGGCAAUGGGCGCAAGCCUGACCCAGCAACGCCGCGUGAGCGAAGAAGGUCUUCGGAUUGUAAAGCUCUGUCCUUUGGAACGAAGAAGUGACGGUACCAAAGGAGGAAGCCCCGGCUAACUACGUGCCAUCAGCCGCGUUAAUACGUAGGGGGCAAGCGUUAUCCGUAAUUAUUGGGCGUAAAGAGUACGUAGGUGGUUUUGUAAGCGGGAGGUCAAAGCCUGGGGCUUAACUCCAGCGAGCCUUUCGAACUGCAAGACUUGAGUGCAGGAGGGGAAAGUGGAAUUCCUAGUGUAGCGGUGAAAUGCGUAGAUAUUAGGAGGAACACCAGUUGCGAAGGCGGCUUUCUGGACUGUAACUGACGCUGAGGUACGAAAGCGUGGGGAGCAAACAGGAUUAGAUACCCUGGUA